GGCCGGCUAGCUCAGCUGGUUAGAGCGUGGUGCUAAUAACGCCAAGGUCAUGGGUUCAAGCCCCAUGCUGGUACUCCG